CUCAGACAAACCCUGAAGCCCCAUGCUGAGAGAAAAGUGCCAUGAGACGGAAGCAACUGGAAUGCUGGAUCCCCACACAGAGAACCCCUGGAGAGAUUCCUGGGCCAGCAGAAGCUUUGCAUGACUAAAAAUAUACUGUUUCGAGAAUCUUGCUGAGAAACCCCACAAAUGAAAGUGAAGCUCUUUUGACUGAAGUAGCUGGAGAAGGUGAGGUGAGAGAUAGGGAAAAGCAGGUGAGAAGGGGCAGAAGCACAGAGAAACUGAAGUCCAGCCACU
rnacentral:lncRNA from 1 species